rnacentral:rRNA from 1 species
UGGGGAAUAUUGGACAAUGGGGGGAACCCUGAUCCAGCCAUGCCGCGUGUGUGAAGAAGGCCUUAUGGUUGUAAAGCACUUUAAGCGAGGAGGAGGGUACUGGUAUUAAUACUACCAGCUACUGGACGUUACUCGCAGAAUAAGCACCGGCUAACUCUGUGCCAGCAGCCGCGGUAAUACAGAGGGUGCGAGCGUUAAUCGGAUUUACUGGGCGUAAAGCGUGCGUAGGCGGCUAAUUGAGUCGGAUGUGAAAUCCCCGAGCUUAACUUGGGAAUUGCAUUCGAUACUGGUUAGCUAGAGUGUGGAGAGGAUGGUAGAAUUCCAGGUGUAGCGGUGAAAUGCGUAGAGAUCUGGAGGAAUACCGAUGGCGAAGGCAGCCAUCUGGCCUAACACUGACGCUGAGGUACGAAAGCAUGGGGAGCAAACAGG